rnacentral:lncRNA from 1 species
UCAAACACAAAAAAUCCACUUUAUUACUUAAACGCGACGCGCGCACUUUCGUUUUCCACUUUUAGCAAACAACUACUACCAUCCAAGGCUUUGAAAUCAUGAAAAUCUCUCCUAUAGUAACCAAAAAAAAAAAAAAAAAAGUGAUCUAGCCUGUUCCUGGGUUCAAUAAUCAAUCCUGUUAAGGGAAAUCACCAUUAGAAGACAUUUCGGGCCAUUUAAUUUAAAGACUAGGGCAAGAUUUAACAAUGAUGAAUCACGAAUAGACAACAUCGAGACUCACAUGGCCAACAUGGGAGGCCACAAUGAAAUCUCUUGAAAUACUGAUUGGUCAGCUAGCUAUUGCAAUAAAGUGAUACCGAGGUAAACCAAGGAACAUUGCAAUGCUAUCACACUGGGGAUUAGUAAAUAAAUUGGAAAGAGCAAGCCUAAAGAGGCUUGGCUUCUACACCCAAUCAAGAAGAAGAGCAGCAUGUUAAAGAUCAAGAAAUCCAAGUAGGGGAAACAAAGGCCUUGAGUCCAAUUCAAUUUCAUUCCCAGGUAAUUCACCAAUUUUGAAAUCGAUAUUGCCACAUCCGCAUAGAUUCCUAAAGAAAAAAUUUGAUGCACAGUUUGCAAAAUCUCUGAAAAUUUUCAAGAAAAUUCAUAUAAGCGUCCAAUUUGCGAACGCUUUGAUACAAAUGUCGAAUUAUGCUAAAUUCCUGAAAGAAGUAAUGUCAAAGAAGAAGUUAGAAGAGCAUGAAAUUAUAAUGAAACUUACAGAAGAAGCUUCCUUAGAAAUUGAAGGAUCCAAGUAGCUUUACAAUUCCAUACACAAUUAGCAAUUCUACCAUUAAAAAAGCACGAUCUAGAAGCUAGCGCCAACCUAAUGCCUCUUUCUUUAUUCAAGACGCUAGGUCUUUAAGAAGUGAAAAGCACAACCAUUUGCAACUUGCAGAUAUAUCUCUCACAU